CGCUAAACGCUUCAGAUUUUAACGGUUGAGGAUUGUGAGUUUAAAAAUGAUCCAAAGAAACAAGCUUUCUUGGCUCACUGCUCAAAUCAGCUAAGUGUAUCACUCAAGAAAAUCCGAGGAGAAGCAAGUCCAAUUAGAAAUGCUCUCAUGACCGAGAAAUUAAACAGGAGCUCACUGUGGUUAGCUGUCAGAUUUCAGAGGUGAGUAAUGGAACCGCGGAGAGGGAAACAUCCCAGAAAAGAGAGAGAGAGCGAGACGUUGCCAUGACCAGCCAAUAAACCGUGAGCUGACGUUCAAAUGAAGACAUUUGGUUUAGUGCUGCGGUGAAGGCCUGGUGGCUGCUGACGUGUGUGUGUUGCUCUGAAUGUGCGUGUUUAGCAUUUAUACACUCCAGAACGAGUGAAAGUUGAAUGCUCUGCUGUUUCCACUGAUCCUGGAUCAGAUUGGUAUUAUGUGUCUGUAUUAUAUCUAGUUUAUUUAACAAUACAACAAUCAGUUUAAUUAGAGAUUCUCAUGAAAGCAUAUAAGAGCAGAGGACAGCAAGCCAAAUAACACACACACACACACAGACACACUGUUUCCACAGAAUCAAACUCUUCUACAUCUUGGCCUGAGGGUGAGCACAUUGCCAGCAAAUUUUCAUUUCUGAGUUUUAAUAGAGAUAUCCAUUUUGUUUUAUCGAAGUAUCGACUGCUUAAAAUAGAACAUAACCAGUCACAGAUGAGUCAGUUACGGUCAUACAGUAAGAAUACAUGUAUCCACUUUAUUUUUCAUUGGGGAAGUUUCCCAAAGAAAGAAUUUGUCCUUUUCAUUUUGAACCUUGCUAGUUUAGAUCAGUUCCUGGUAGAAGUUUCUGUGAAUGUGGGACAUAUUCACUUCAUUAGCUGUGGUAGGGAAAUAACCAGAAGAAUGACAAAGAGCAGUUAAAAAAAAACAUAAUUAGGACACUGCAUUAUAAAACAAUAGCAGAUGAGACCGGAAGUCAAGACACGUUAAAUUUACAAAUGGCUGCGCCUGCAUAAAAUUCAGAUGGAAAGCAACUUUUUUUGUGAAUGAAUUUGAAUAAAUGAGUGUAAAUAUGGUCUUGGUAUCGGUUUUUUUUUUUAGUUUAUUUUUUUUUCAGUUAUCAUGACGUGCCUGAACCUGCAAAUUACUUCUGAAGUUCAUGUUGCGUCACUCAUAUAUUUGUGGUUUUUCACUUCCUUACUUGAUAAACAUUGUUGAGUUGUUUAUAGAGUUUAAGGGGACUUUUACAAUACAUCUCAUGG